AUUGAACGCUGGCGGCAGGCUUAACACAUGCAAGUCGAACGAGUGGCGGACGGGUGAGUAAUGUAUGGGAAACUGCCCGAUAGAGGGGGAUAACUACUGGAAAGGGUAGCUUAUACCGCAUACCAUCGGAUGUGCCCAUAUGGGAUUAGCUAGUAGGUGGGGUAAUGGCUCACCUACGCAACGAUCCCUAGCUGGUCUGAGAGGAUGACCAGCCACACUGGAACUGAGACACGGGCCAGAUUCCUACGGGAGGCAGCAGUGGGGAAUAUUGCACAAUGGGCGCAAGCCUGAUCCAGCCAUGCGGCGUGUAUGAAGAAGGCCUUCGGGUUGUAAAGUACUUUCAGCGGGGAAGCGGUACGCGCAGAAUAAGCACCGGCUAACUACGUGCCAGCCGCCGCGGUAAUUC
rnacentral:rRNA from 1 species